rnacentral:tRNA from 1 species
CGGGACGUGGCGCAGCCCGGUAGCGCACACCCUUGGGGUGGGUGGGGUCGCGGGUUCGAAUCCCGCCGUCCCGA